rnacentral:rRNA from 1 species
GAUGAACGCUGGCGGCGUGCCUAAUACAUGCAAGUCGAGCGAACGGACGAGAAGCUUGCUUCUCUGAUGUUAGCGGCGGACGGGUGAGUAACACGUGGAUAACCUACCUAUAAGACUGGGAUAACUUCGGGAAACCGGAGCUAAUACCGGAUAAUAUUUUGAACCGCAUGGUUCAAAAGUGAAAGACGGUCUUGCUGUCACUUAUAGAUGGAUCCGCGCUGCAUUAGCUAGUUGGUAAGGUAACGGCUUACCAGGGCAACGAUGCAUAGCCGACCUGAGAGGGUGAUCGGCCACACUGGAACUGAGACACGGUCCAGACUCCUACGGGAGGCAGCAGUAGGGAAUCUUCCGCAAUGGGCGAAAGCCUGACGGAGCAACGCCGCGUGAGUGAUGAAGGUCUUCGGAUCGUAAAACUCUGUUAUUAGGGAAGAACAUAUGUGUAAGUAACUGUGCGCAUCUUGACGGUACCUAAUCAGAAAGCCACGGCUAACUACGUG